UAGUCCACGCAGUAAACGAUGAUAACUCGAUGUUGGCGAUACUCGGUCAGCGUCCAAGCGAAAGCGUUAAGUUAUCCACCUGGGGAGUACGCCGGCAACGGUGAAACUCAAAGGAAUUGACGGGGGCCCGCACAAGCGGUGGAGCAUGUGGUUUAAUUCGAUGAUACGCGAGGAACCUUACCAAGGCUUAAAUGGAGAAUGCCUUUCCUGGAAACAGGAUUUUCCUUCGGGACAUUCUUCAAGGUGCUGCAUGGUUGUCGUCAGCUCGUGCCGUGAGGUGUCGGGUUAAGUCCCAUAACGAGCGCAACCCCUACUUCUAGUUGCCAGCGGAUAAUGCCGGGGACUCUAGAGGAACUGCCCGUGCAAACGGAGAGGAAGGUGGGGAUGACGUCAAAUCAUCACGGCCCUUACGUCUUGGGCUACACACGUGCUACAAUGGCAGGUACAAAGGGCAGCUACACAGCGAUGUGAUGCUAAUCUCUAAAGCCUGUCUCAGUUCGGAUUGG
rnacentral:rRNA from 1 species